AUUUUUUACAUUUUAUUUGUCUGAAAAAACCAAACAAUACUGUUAUACACAUUUACCUAAACUUUAUAUAUGUUUUUAAAUUAACUUAGUAUUUGAUGAUCUCCAAAUGUUCUUAAACUUACCCUAACCUAGUAACUUAGUUUAAAACUUUAAAAUUAUUUUUAAACAAGAGCAACCCGUUACAUGAUAAGUAUAAUAUAUCAAGUUUUGACCGAAAUAUCCCUCUUCAUGGGUACGCGGACGGUGCUUGGAAGGCGACACGUUUUGUUUCAGAGUUCGAAUGACAGGAGGGAAACAAAGCGGAACGGAUGUAGUGAACGACAACACAAUUGUUGCAGAUCAGCGGACUGCGGAUGGUGAUCAAAAAGCCAUCUCGGCAACGCAUCCACCAAUUUCGAAAAGGGAUAGAGGUCUGCAUACUAUUGGGAAAGAGGCAGAUGGGAAAUGCUCAGGUUAUAUAAACACUGAUUAACAACUCUGUCUGUAUGGCGCCUGUCAUUGUCAUCCAGAAAUUGAAAAUCGCUGCCAAUGAGUGGUCCUCCAGUGUAAAAAUCAGCCGAGUCCAUCACUUCCAAACUACACUGAAGGGAAUACGUACUGUGGCAUUACGCUCGCUGCACCGUAUUCUGAUGAGUUGCUGGUAGCGAGUUGUUGCUGCAGGUCGUAUAAAAGGGGCAUACGAUGUGAGGCCAACUUCCCACAAAUCGUUUGCGCUGAUAAAGGCCCUGCAAAAACAUCUUGAACUUCAUUUAGGAUCUGGCGGGCGUUAUGGAAAGGGUUCCGUCAUGCAGCAAUGACUAUUUCUGUCAACCCUUAGCGUCGUAAUGUGCUGAAAUCACUACCAGGCCAACUAUUAGCUUUUCCAUUCUGCCGGAAUCGGGCUAAACCCCGGGAGACUUCACUCUGAGAAACGCCAACUGCCUCUGCGAUAUCCUCUUGCCAGUGAUCUCAAUGACUCAUUCUCACAAUAAUAGUGCGAACUUCCGGUCCAAGGUGAUGUCUUUCCAUGGUUAAAGAAAAUACAACUGUAUUAAAACGGAGAAAAGAAGAGAAAAGGU
rnacentral:lncRNA from 1 species